rnacentral:rRNA from 1 species
UACGUAGGGGGCUAGCGUUGUCCGGAAUCAUUGGGCGUAAAGAGCGUGUAGGCGGCCCGGUAAGUCCGCUGUAAAAGUCAAAGGCUCAACCUUUGAAUGUCAGUGGAUACUGCCGGGCUAGAGUCCGGAAGAGGCGAGUGGAACUCCUGGUGUAGCGGUGGAAUGCGCAGAUAUCAGGAAGAACACCAACGGCGAAGGCAGCUCGCUGGGACGGUACUGACGCUGAGACGCGAAAGCUAGGGGAGCAAACGGG